GAUGAACGCUAGCGGCAGGCCUAACACAUGCAAGUCGAGGGGCAGCAUAAUAAAAGCUUGCUUUUAUGGUGGCGACCGGCGCACGGGUGCGUAACGCGUAUGCAACCUACCUUAUACUGGGGUAUAGCCCGGAGAAAUUCGGAUUAAUCCCCCAUAGUAUUAUUAGAUCGCAUGGUUUGAUAAUUAAAGGUUACGGUAUAAGAUGGGCAUGCGUCCCAUUAGCUAGAUGGUGAGGUAACGGCUCACCAUGGCGACGAUGGGUAGGGGGCCUGAGAGGGUGGUCCCCCACACUGGUACUGAGACACGGACCAGACUCCUACGGGAGGCAGCAGUGAGGAAUAUUGGUCAAUGGGCGAGAGCCUGAACCAGCCAUGCCGCGUGCAGGAAGACGGUCCUAUGGAUUGUAAACUGCUUUUAUUUGGGAAUAAACUCCGAUACGUGUAUCGGCCUGAAGGUACCAAAUGAAUAAGCACCGGCUAACUCCGUGCCAGCAGCCGCAGUAACAC
rnacentral:rRNA from 1 species